UACGAAGGGGGCUAGCGUUGUUCGGAAUCACUGGGCGUAAAGGGCGCGUAGGCGGCUUUAUAAGUCGGGGGUGAAAGCCUGUGGCUCAACCACAGAAUCGCCCUCGAUACUGUAGAGCUUGAGACCGGAAGAGGUAAGUGGAACUGCGAGUGUAGAGGUGAAAUUCGUAGAUAUUCGCAAGAACACCAGUGGCGAAGGCGGCUUACUGGUCCGGUUCUGACGCUGAGGCGCGAAAGCGUGGGGAGCAAACAGG
rnacentral:rRNA from 1 species